rnacentral:antisense_RNA from 1 species
CUUCACGGAGCCGAGCAGCAGCGGCCGCUCGCGCUCCUGCCCAUAGGCCGACAGCAAGGCCUGCGCCUC